rnacentral:lncRNA from 1 species
CUAUCUACAAACAAUGUCCCUACCCACACAGGCUUGUAACAGACCCUCUCCAAUCGGGUAGGAUUUUUCUUCCCCAAGGGAAGGCAAAGAAACUCUAAUUUCCCCUCUGUCCUUUAUAUUGCAGUUGGUCAUAAAGAAUGGCUGUGACCAAGCCUUGUAUGGUCACUGUCCUCAUUCCAAAGAUGCAUGCCCAGUGGAAGGAAUGUGGCACAGCAGGGCCCAUCCAGUCUGCUCAGUGACAUCUCCAUAUGAAAUCUCAAGCGCCUGCCCCUGGCUCAGCGCCCGGUGCCAACAGAACACCUUCAGGAUUCACAGCAACGCAGAAACCGUGAGUACCAGCCGCUUCCCUCAGACCCUUUUGCAGGAUGUCUUUUUUUUUUUUUUCCUUAAGCACCUAAAACAUAGAGACAAGGCUCUUUUCCCUUCUGCUCCUCAGCAUCAUGCCACCAGGGUUUGCCUGGUAGCCCCUUCCAAAUCUCUCUGCCUUCAAGUUUGUACUUGUGUGUGUGGCAUCCCUCCUCCUCCUCCUCCUCCUCCUCCUCCUCCUCCUCCUCCUCCUCCACUCCCAUAGUGGAUCUUGUAAAGGGGCUUCAGACGACCCCAUUCAUCUCCCCGGUGAUAGCAGCGAAUGUAGAUAAAUCUCUGGCUGCCUGCUUGCUGCUCCAGUAUGAUUUUUAUUUUGUCUUCUGUGUGUACCUGGGUUAGAGAGUGGGAUGCACACACACACACAUACAAGUACAUACUCAGAUCUCCCACUCUUUCCUCUGCCAUCCUCUCCCACUUCUCAGACAUGCAUACACCACCCCACACACGUGUAAGUGCAAACCAUAUACACCUAUAUACGUACCCAUACCUAUAGCAUGAAAAUAUAUACAUAGCUAAGCAUUCAGUUUGUCAGAGAGUCUGUGUAUUUGUAUACACGCAGAGCCUUACACACAUCUCUAUAUGCACUCGAUGGUUGCCUGUUUUCAUGUCUACCCAUCUAGAUAGCUCCUUUUAAACAUUCCCUCUUUUCUCUCAGCAGAGGCUGUGUGCCAUUUCCAUCCAGGAUUGGGAAAGCAGUAUUCCUUCCUUAGAAUUUCUAUCUGUAGACCUUUAUGUUUCCUUCUCUGCCUUCUUCGGAGCUAUAAAAUUGGCAUCUUUCCCUGAGGUUUUCCGAAUGGCAAGUGGUACCGGCUGUGGCAUGCAUUCACGCCGAUUCCUCAGGCAUUUCUCUUCCGAUGUCUGCCUUUCCUCUUUGUUGUUGACUUGGCUGAACGGUGUGUUGUUGUUGUUGUUGUUUUAAGUUAAUUAUAAACGAAGUUGAAUAGCAAAUAAGCCAGUAGCUUGCCCUCUCAAAAAAAAAUUUAAUGAAAAAACAAAAAUAGCCCACACAAGUGCCUUCUGCUGCAACAGAUGCCCACAUCACCCUUGGCAUGGGCAACGGACAAACAGUUUGGGUGGUUGAUGAUUUUCUCUGACUGUCGCUGUAUCUGUUGUUUGUUUUCCUUGUUUCUUUUUGAUUUUUCAAGAUGUCCAGGACCCCGGCCUCUGCUUGGAACGGAAUGGUGUCAUGGCGGAGACAACGGCCUUUGUCUUGCUGGGUGUGAAAACAUCCGCCGUGCUGGCUCCUCCACUGCGGCAGAAUCAAGUUUAAAUGAAAAAAGUGAUUAAAGUCAGCUUUGUGCUUCUUUGGUGUGGAAGACCCCAAAACCCCAAGUAGCCGAUUCCCAGGGUCCAAGGAAGGGCUCAUAGUUGGAGCAGCCUGGGCUGUAAUCCUGGCACUUGCGCCUUGCGUUGCUGCUUGCUGUUCGCUCCUGGGGGUCUGGAUAAUCUCCCUUGGCUUUACCGCACUGUCUGGCCCGCAUACAGGGCCCGGUAACAUAUACCCGCUGCUGCUAUCACACGAAACUGUGGCGUUGCCCCUGAAUGGAUGGCACCGUGCCAACUCUUCUGCCAUCCGCCCUUGCAGCUUUUUUUUCUUUUCUCCCGCCCUCCCCUUCUUCUCCUCCUCCCGUCGACUUGACGUUAAUUAACACACGGGUUAAUUGAUUUUAAAAGCCGAAGAAUUACAGUUAACUUUUCCCACAGGGUACAGACGCCAGCCGCUUGGCACACUCUGCCUUCCGCACUGGUGCAGGGGGGCAGGGAAAGCCCGCAGCAAAACUAGCAACUGCUGAGGGAACGUUGUCUGCUUAUUGGAGUAGAGCGAUAGAAGUCAGCGUGGCACUGCCUCAUCCUGUACAGUAUAUGGAGCCAUUAUAGAUUUUGUCAAAUAAUCAAACACAACCCCGUCUUUCCUCUUCCCAACUAGACAACCCCUUCAGAAGUUCUUCGAGAGAUGAGAUAAGCCCCUCCCAAGACCGCUUCUAUCCUCCCUAAAAUGUUUCUUUUCUAGGAGUAAGAAAAUGAUGGUGCUUUUGAGAUUUUUUUUUUGAAUUGCUAUGUCUCAGUUUCACAAAGGGAAGGGUGGGUACCCCUACCCUACACAGCACAAGUACAAGUUCCAUAAAGUUCUUCUCCGUGUCUGUUUUGCUUCCACUCCUCUUGGCCAGAUGAGGUUAUUUUGGGUAAUGGAUUUCAGUGAGAAAGUACAUAGUAUAAUUAAGAACAAAACUCAUAGCCAGGCUCUUUGUUAUUUUGUAUGAGUGUGUGUAUCUUUGUUGCCCACCCCCUUUCUCAGAGCCUCUGUCCAAAAUAAAAGCAGUUUGCUCUUGCUGUUGGGAAGGAGU